UGCGAAGAUAUCGAUAGGCGAGACCCUAGAAGCGCUGAGAGGAAGGUAUUUUUUUGAACAGAGUGGCAGGGCCAAAAUUUAAGGGGAAAGGUUAGCGAAGAGUGGCCACCUGGUCCUGGAGAGUUAGAGUUCCGCGCGCUCUCCGGAGCCGUUGUGAGAGGAUUUCCGAUCUCAUCCCAUAACGGAGUCCCGAAGCCAACUCACCCACACCCAAAAGAAAAGAGAGCCGCCAGCAGCCCGAAUCAGGCCAUGCCCUUGAACCUAGUUCAAGGGCGAUAGAAGAGAGAGCGAUGGGGAUCGGCAGCCGGGAGCAUUAAACAGAACAGCCAAGAGGGGGUUCAGAAAAAAAAGUUCCCGCAACGGAGGAGCAUGCGCGCCGGACCUAGUGACUUAGCGAUUUUUUUUUGUUCUGAAAGAAAAACUGAGUGGGAUGAGGAUGGAGUAGUGGCCAUCACCCUGCAAAAAAAUGAAUAAAAUAUAAAUAAAUGUGAUUCCAGGGGAUCCAGAUCAGGGAAAGACCAGGAACCAGGACCAGGAAGCAUAAGAGGAAUAGGUCACAGCUCCGCCACCCUGGCUUGUUUUUCCUGCUGGUCUCGAAGGAACAGACCUGGCCACGUAGUGCGGGACCCUCGCCCACUUAGGGAGAAGAAAAAAAAAGCACAUCAACUUAUUUACUCCCAUUAAUUAUUGUUGUUAGACGUCUCCAGUUAUAAGUAUAUGUAAUUUAAGUCCGUCCAUAUUUAUUAUAUAUAUGUAACCUAUUUAUUUAUAUUUAUUAUAUUAUUUAUUCCUAUUAAUCUAAUUAUUUAUUGACCGCCAGUAGUACUAAGAUGAGGGGGGGAUGAAUAGGCAGGCGUAGUUUAGAAAAUAGGAAAUGAAGUGAAAAAUUAUAACGAAGAAAUGAAUUGUUAAGCGUUUCGUAUGGGGGGAAGAGGAGCCACAGCAACGAGAGGGUAAGGCUUUUGCCAAUGGCAGGGAGAUCCGGAACGUGUGAUUCAGAUCUCAGGUAGGGUGGGUGCGUCGGGGGUAAAACAUCGACACCUCGACCUGGUCCAAGUCUGUGUUGAGGGAAGACUGUAAUGUUGUUUGUCGAGUAGAGUCCGUUUUUUUCAGUUUUUUUUUUGUCGGUUAUUUUUGUUGUUUCAUUUUGUUCGAGAUGUCCAAUCAGUUGGUUGUUGUGCGACCUGAGGGCUUGGGAAGUAUCCAGCCCUGGGAUGACUGGCUAG